CCUACGGUGUGCAGCAGUGGGGAAUAUUGGACAAUGGGCGAAAGCCUGAUCCAGCCAUGCCGCGUGUGUGAAGAAGGCCUUCGGGUUGUAAAGCACUUUCAGUGGGGAAGAAAGCCUUGGGGCUAAUACCCUCGAGGAAGGACAUCACCCACAGAAGAAGCACCGGCUAACUCCGUGCCAGCAGCCGCGGUAAUACGGAGGGUGCGAGCGUUAAUCGGAAUUACUGGGCGUAAAGCGCGCGUAGGCGGUCUGAUAAGCCGGUUGUGAAAGCCCCGGGCUCAACCUGGGAACGGCAUCCGGAACUGUCAGGCUAGAGUGCAGGAGAGGAAGGUAGAAUUCCCGGUGUAGCGGUGAAAUGCGUAGAGAUCGGGAGGAAUACCAGUGGCGAAGGCGGUCUUCUGGACUGACACUGACGCUGAGGUGCGAAAGCGUGGGUAGCAAACAGGAUUAGAUACCCUAGUAGUC
rnacentral:rRNA from 1 species